UCAGGAGUUGGGGUUUUUGUUUUGCCUUUUUUUUCUGUUCCUAUGGCUUGCCAUCACCACCAGAUGGCAUCGUGGAGGCUAGGAUAGGAGGACUGAAGGGCUGACGUCACCGUCACACCGGUUCCCAAUCCACUCGUCAGCGGGACUUUAAGAGGCGGUGACUGCCAGCAUACCAACGCUUGAGUGUUAGCCAGUAAUGGUAACCCAGAGCCCUCUCCAGCGAUCUAGUCAAGCUUCCUGUUGAUUCUGAUCUAACGCCCUCUGUUGUUUGGAUUUUUUCAGCUGUUCCUGCAACUUCAAGUCUGGCUGUAGUCCCGAGUUUCCCCUUGCGACGCCGUGGGCACGUUACCCGUUGGUGCCCAAGGCGGCCACCACUCACCUUUUCCUCCGUGAAACAAGAAGUGGUGUCUGGGAAUCCAAGCAGGCAGUCCGCUCGCUCUCCGUGACGACGUCAGGAUCCUAUUACCUGUCCGCCCUCCACCGCAGCACAACCUCCACCUCCAGCGCCCCCACACCUGGCCACGCCGUUGUUUUUUCCCCCUCUCCGAAAGUCCUGGCUUACCUGUCUGUCGCCGUCCCUUCGAUGUUUGAGAGCCUACCUGGAAAUCUUUUAAUAAAUCACUUUAACUG